UACGUAGGUGGCAAGCGUUGUCCGGAUUUACUGGGUGUGAAGGGCGUGCAGCCGGGAGUGCAAGUCAGAUGUGAAAUCCCGCGGCUCAACCGCGGAACUGCAUUUGAAACUGUGCUUCUUGAGUGCUGGAGAGGCAGACGGAAUUCCUAGUGUAGCGGUGAAAUGCGUAGAUAUUAGGAGGAACACCAGUGGCGAAGGCGGUCUGCUGGACAGUAACUGACGGUGAGGCGCGAAAGCGUGGGGAGCAAACAGG
rnacentral:rRNA from 1 species